UGGGAUUUAUCCUGUGCGGGGUUGUAGGGCACUUUAUAUAGAAGUUACAAAAUGACAUUUUAGUAGAAUAGAUUGGAAAGUCUAACCAUAGAGGGUGAAAGUCCCGUAAACGAAAAAAUGUCAUCUUCUAAAGUGUUCCUGAGUACGACGGGACACGUGAAAUCUUGUCGGAAUCUGGGGGGACCACCCUCCAAGGCUAAAUACUUUUGACGACCGAUAGUGAACUAGUACCGUGAGGGAAAGGUGAAAAGAACCCCGAGAGGGGAGUGAAAUAGAACUGAAACCAUAAACCUACAAACCGUGGGAGCUUGUAUUUAUAUGAGUGACCGCGUGCCUAUUGAAGAAUGAGCCAACGAGUUACUUGGUACGGCAAGAUUAAGAAGUUAAGCUUUGAAGUCGAAGCGAAAGCAAGUCUGAAUAGGGCGAAUUAGUCGUGUCAAGUAGACCCGAAACCGUGUGAGCUACCUAUGGCCAGGUUGAAGCGAGAGUAAAAUCUUGUGAAGGACCGAACCCGUGUACGCUGCAAAGUGCUGGGAUGAGCUGUGGGUAGAGGUAAAAUGCCAAACGAACACGGAGAUAGCUGGUUCUCUCCGAAAUGUAUUUAGGUACAGCGUUAUGUAAUACUUCAUGGAGGUAGAGCACUGGAUAGACUAGGGGGCGCAAGCUUACCAAACCUAACCAAACUCCGAAUACCAUGAAGGGUAUCAUAGCAGUGAGACUGUGGGGGAUAAGCUCCAUUGUCGAAAGGGAAACAGCCCAGAUCGCAAGUUAAGGUCCCUAAGUAUAUGCUAAGUGUUAAACGAAGUAGGGUCGCCCAGACAGCCAGGAGGUUGGCUUAGAAGCAGCCAUCCUUUAAAGAGUGCGUAAUAGCCCACUGGUCAAGGGGCCCCGCACGGAAAAUAAACGGGGCUAAGCAUAUCACCGAGACUGCGGGAUCUAUUUAUAGAUCGGUAGGAGAGUGUCGUUAAAGCAUUGAAGCUAAGCUGUAAGGCUUGGUGGAGUUUUAACAAGUAAGAAUGUUGGCAUGAGUAGCAAAAAUGCCGGUGAGAAUCCGGCAGGCCGUAAGUCUAAGGAUUCCUACGCAACGUUGAUCGGCGUAGGGUUAGUCGGUCCUAAGGCGUAUCCGAAAGGAAAAGUCGAUGGACAGCUGGUGAAUAUUCCAGCACCUAUAAUUAAUUGUUUGAGUCAAAGGGGUGACGCAGAAAGAUAAACAGAGCAUACGUAUUGGACAUCGUGUGUUUUUGCCUGUAGAUGAGUAGAGAAGGUUAAAAUAUUUUCUACGUUUGAAUUGAGGGGUGAGAAAACUAUGAGGUUCGCCUCGUAGAAUUCUGUCGACUCUAAACUGCCAAGAAAAGCCUCGUUGAUUAGAUUUUUCAUAGACCGUACCGCAAACCAACACAGGUAGACAGGGAUAAACGUCCCAAGGCCAUCGAGAGAACCAUCGUUAAGGAACUCGGCAAAUUGACCCCGUAACUUAGGGAGAAGGGGGACCUUUUGUGUAUAUGAGUUUACCUCAAAAAGCAUGGAAGGUAGCAUAAAAUAGGCUGAAGCGACUGUUUACCAAAAACACAGGUCCAUGCCAAAGCGAAAGCUGAUGUAUAUGGGCUGACGCCUGCCCAGUGCCGGUAGGUUAAGGAAAGUUGUGCAAGCAACUGACUGAAGCCCCGGUGAACGGCGGCCGUAACUAUAACGGUCCUAAGGUAGCGAAGUCCCUUGUCGGGUAAGUUCCGACCCGCACGAAUGGCGUAACGACUUCAGCACUGUCUCAACGAUGGACUCGGUGAAAUUGCAGGACCGGUAAAGAUGCCGGUUACGCGCAGCAGGACAAAAAGACCCCGUGGAGCUUUACUGCAACUUGGCAUUGGUUCGAGUUUUAAAAUGUGUAGGAUAGGCGGGAGACUUUGAACUCUAGGCGUCAGCCUAGGGGGAGUCGCCCUUGAAAUACCGCCCUUUUUAUGAUUUGGACCUAACACUUUUGGACAGUGUCUGGUGGGCAGUUUGACUGGGGCGGUCGCCUCCCAAAGAGUAAC
rnacentral:rRNA from 1 species